GGUACAGAGGAGAGUCCAGACAAAGCAGACAAGGUUAGAGGGAGAGAAAGAGAAAAAGUGUCCUUUUACCGGGUAGAGGGGGACAAACUGCAAGAAGAAACCCCAGUUCAGCAGGAGAGAGAACUCAACACAGAAAGCUAUGCAUGGCCCUACUCCCUCAGACCCUUCUGGAUAGGUUUUCCCUGGCUCUGCUUCCCAUGCAGGUUACCGAGUUGUCUGGAAUCUACAUGGACUCAGGGCAGGAGCAGGGAAGUUUCCCACAGGCAAAGGCCAGGGACCUGGAGUGCGGUAGAACCAGGCCUGCAGUUGGUGGGCCGGGAAGAUCUGACCCAAGCGUCCUCACACCUGAGGAAGCUCACAGGGAGACAGGUUUUGGUUAGGGGGUUUUCUCCUGAAGAGUUCCCAUAAGUCCAAUUCUUGAGGGAAAAUAGGAAUACAAAUUUGUCAUUCACAGAUUUCAAAUGAGGCCCUUAGUUUUCAUCUUUCUACAAUAGUAGAGAGAGCAGCAGCAGCUCCGUUCCUAAAAGAAAUUCUUUUUUGUCUUAUUAAAUGUUUUAUAUUGUAUUUUAAUAUUUUAUUUCUGGGGGGUUCUUGAUCCAGAAUGGCUACUUCCUGUUACAGAGACUGCUACAAAUGAAACCCAGCCAAAGCCUGCUAGAUUCCAACAACCCAGGAAUGAUGACGGCGGGGACAUGGCCAAAGCAGUGAGACCCCCUGGCCUCUUCAGCCUGAGAGAGACAUUGAAAACUUGAGCUGUGAUGAGGCCCGCUGUGCUCGGAGGCUAAGGAACUACUGAAGGAAUCCCAGAAGCACUUGGCGCUCGGAACUAUGGAAAGGGACAAACAUAGACACGGCAGAGAUUCUUGAGUGCCUGGAGAUCAUGUAUCAGCCACCCCUGUGUCCCCGUACCUGAGCCGUGGUUGGCCAUGGACUGGUGCAGGCCGGAGGAGGCCCCGAAGUAGGAAUGCUGAGCACAGCUGGUCCGUGGGAUGUGUGUGGAACCAGGCAGAGCUGUCAGGCUCUGGCUUUUCGUCACCAGCAGCGGGCUCUCAUGCUUUCUGGCAAACUAAAAGAAAAUAAAACACGUGGGACUUGAGGACAGAGGUCUGGGGAGGGGCUGGCCCUGCAGAAGUGCUGUCUGACCUGGCCCUCGAGGCAGUGUGGACAACAGCCAGAGCCUGGACAUGGCACACCAGCCUCUGCUGGGCGACAACUAGGAAACUGAGUUCUAGGCACCUGCAGUUCUGUACUAGGCUCCUUCUGGGCGCUGAGUGGAGACAGCACCAGAAGCACUUAAGCCUCCCCUGUGGAGUCAAAGGUCAGAUAGGACAGGGUUCUGUCCCAUCUCUGGUCACUCAGAAGCUAUUUGGUCCCAACUUUGGACAAGUGACUAGCCUACUCUGCCUUAGGGGCUUCCUUUCUAAAGAGAUGAAUGCCUACCUUCAGGAGAUGUGAGGAUGAAAUGGGAAGAUGUGUGUUCUAUACAGGGCAUCCUGCCUGGCGUGCAGAAUAUUCAGUGGAUGGCAACUGACAAUCAAACUUAAAUUACCAGGAGAGAUGAGGACACUCUGCCCUAAAAG